rnacentral:rRNA from 1 species
CAGUCGCCACGGUAAUACGUAGGUCCCGAGCGUUGUCCGGAUUUAUUGGGCGUAAAGCGAGCGCAGGCGGUUAGAUAAGUCUGAAGUUAAAGGCUGUGGCUUAACCAUAGUACGCUUUGGAAACUGUUUAACUUGAGUGCAGAAGGGGAGAGUGGAAUUCCAUGUGUAGCGGUGAAAUGCGUAGAUAUAUGGAGGAACACCGGUGGCGAAAGCGGCUCUCUGGUCUGUAACUGACGCUGAGGCUCGAAAGCGUGGGGAGCAAACAGGAUUAGAUACCCGAGUAGUCCCUGUCUCUUAUACA